CAAGGUUUAAGCAGAUGAUAGUAUAAUAUGCAGAAUACAACCCAAUACAGCCUGAUACUGGGGUGUCACUAGUCAUGAGCAUCUAAACAAUCCAGAAUACUCAGAGGAACUACAAGGUUUAAUACAGAACUAAGAACAUGAAGAAAUAAGAUAGGGAAGAGCUCUGGGCUGCGAACGCCAACAGCUACCUAGAGACUCCUCGGAUCUGCCUGAGCUGGAACUGAUCAUUACUUGGGAGCGGGACCAGAUGCGCCUGAAUCUACACACGGGGUGUAGGAAGUAAAGUGAGUACUCCAACUCAGUGAGUAAUAAUCAUAAAUAAAGACUGAAAGCAAGAAAUCACGUAAAGCACAUUUGCAGACUAUAAUGAAGCAGUAAAACCAAUGAAAGGUAUGUGAAAGUCAUUUAACUCAAAUUAAACUUCACGAAAACCUUUUUCAACAAUUUAGGCAGGUAAAUGACAGGCAAUUAAGGAAAAUAAACACAUAAAGGUUUGCCCCUCGGGCACAGUAUCAACAAAUUUGCCCCUUGGGCAAUAUCUCAAACAAUACCAGCCCCUCGGGCUAUAUCUCACAUCAUAAUGGGUACCCACACUCACUAGGGGUGUGCAGACUCCUGGAGGGGCCCCUUACGGCCCAAGCGCAAUAUCAAGCCAUUUCGUGGCAUCAUCACUAGGCCCUCGGCCUCAUAUCAACAAGCCACCUUGUGGUAUACAUAUCUCAGGCCCUCGACCUUAUAAUCAAUAUCAAUUGUUUUCUCACAACAUAGGCCCUCGGCCUUACUUAGUCAAAAUCCUCACAAGCCACUUGGGCAAUAAUAAAACAUGAUUCUCAACCCAAAAUUUCAUUUAAAAGAUCACUUAAGUGUUAAAAUAGAGUAAACAUGGCUGAGCACAAAAAAAAUAAAAUAUAACAUGACUGAGUUCAAGUAUAAAGUUAGAACAGUGAGGAAAUAUCAAUAAAAGUCCCUUAAGGGUUCAAAUAGUUGGCACGAAUCCCAAAUAUGACAUUCAACCCAAAUAAUGAUGAUAGCAAAUAGAUUUCAGUCAAAUACGUGGCAAAAUAGUCAUUCGAGACGGACUAAGUCACAAUCCCCAACAGUGCACGACCCCAAGCUCGUCAUCAAGCAUAUGCGUCACCUCAAUAUAGCACAACGAUGUACAAGUUCGGGGUUUCAUACCCUCAGAAUAUUAUUUACAAUCAUUACUCACCUCAAUCCGAUCAAAUCUCUAGCUCGCGACGCCUUUGCCCCUCGAAUCGACCUCCACUCGCGUCGAAUCUAUCAAAAAUCAGAAUGAGGACGUCAAAAUAUGCUAAAGGAACGAAGCCCAAGCAAAAAUAAUCAAUUUAUAACACAAAUCCCGAAAUUACCAAAACCCGACCCCCGGUUCCACGUCUCGAAAUUCGAUAAAAAUCACAUUAAUGGAAUCCUUAUCCUCCCACGAGUUCAUACAUACCAGGAACACUGAAAUUGGAGUCCAAAAUGGCCCCUCAAAUUCUCAUUUUAAAGUCUCUUAAUCUCAAGCCCUAAUUCCUCAAUUUUUGGCAUAGAUUCCAUGAUUUAUUAGAUAGAUUUCCCAAUAGAAUCGAGUUUUAAGUCCAAGAAUCUUACCUCCAAGUUAUUCCCCUUGAAUCCUUUUCAAAAAGCUCCAAAAAAGAUCAACAAUGGAAGAAAUAAACCCCAAAAUCGCGGACAAGACGAGUAUUUAAACAUUCUGUCCAGGUCUAAAAUCCUUCUUCGCGAACGCGGUCAAACCCUGACGUUCGCGAAGCACAAAAAUUCCAUUGACCAAAAAACUCUUCUUCGCAAACGCGAUGCCUCAGCUUCACCAACCUACACGAACGCGAUGCCUACCAUUUCGGCCCUUCGCGAAUGCGGGACUCCCCAUCGCGAAUGCGAAGGCCAAACCUGAUGCCUCCCUUCCUGACCCUUCGCGAAUGCGAAGAGCAAAAUACUUGCAAUAGCUAAAGCCAAAAUAUGUAACUUUUCUUUAACUUAAAAUGAUCUGUUCAACCCUCCGAAACUCACCCAGGCCCCUGGGACCUCAACCAAAGGCACCAACAUAUCCUAAAACCUUAUUCAAACUUGUACCAAUCUUCAAAAUACCUCAAACAACACAAAAUCAACCAAAACACAUCGGAUUCAAACCUAAGUUUCCAAAAUCUUUUGAAUUCCGGUUUUGAUCAAAAACCCAAACAAACCACGUCCGAAUGAGCUGAAAUUUUGCACAUACAUCCCAAAUGACACAACGGAACUACUGCAACUCUCGGAAUCCCAUUCUGACCCCUAUAUUAAAAUCUCACCUACCAAUCGAAAAUCGCCAAAAAUUCACUUUCGCCAAUUCGAGCCUAAAUCUACUCCAGACCUCCAAAACUCAUUACGAUCAUGCUCCUAAGUCCCAAAUCACCUCCCGAAGCUAACCGAACCAUCAUAACUCCUAUCCGAGCCCUCUAACACAUAAGUCAACAUCUAGUUGUCUUUUCCAACGUAUGUCACGACCCAAACCGAUGGGCCCCGACUAGCACCCAGUGCCUCUCCUAUCAUUGCGCACUAACUUGAAACUACGGGACUCUGAACAUAUGAUGUCAUACUUUAGCUAUGGGCCACAUUGCAAGAUAACUGCGAGUGCUGACUAAAUGUCAAUAUACAACUGGGUCGACAAGGCCGUCAUAACUAUUACAGCUGACAAACCAACCAAAUAUACAUACAAGGAAUGAAAGCCCAACAUACUGCACUAACUGACAAGAUAUGUCUACAAGCCUCUACUGAUAGAUAUACUAUGAUCGGAACGGCUCUCUGACCUACUCAUGACAUAUAUAUACGUAUAUAUACAAGAUAUACAUAGGGCUCUAUACCCGGAAACACCGAAAGGCGUGAAGCUUACCAAUCAAGCUGAACUCGAGCAACACUUAUUGAAGAGGCCUACUCGUCUGUCUGUCUGACCUGCACGCAUGAAAUGCAGCACCCCCAGAAAAAGGACGUCAGUAUGAAAUAAUGUACUGAGUAUGUAAGGAAAUAUACUGAAAGUUGAAACUGAACUAAUAAUAUAAUAACUGCAAGUAGCUGGAAGUCAAAGAUAAUCUAAAGAUUGCUUACUUGCUGAUACUGACUCAAUUCUCUCAAUAUAGUAAGUAAAAUAGCUAUCCGUCCCUAUAAGGCUCGGUAUUUAUAUAUAUAACUGCUCUGCCAUAGUAGGCUCGCUCAUAAGCAUUCGGCCAUACUAGGCUCUGUAUCUCGGCCAACUAGGCACGCUCAUAAGCGCUCGACCACAAUAGGCUCAGUAUAUAUAUAGCUGCUCUACCGUAGUAGGCUCGCUCAUAAGCGCUCGGCCAUACUAGGCUCUGUAUCUCAACCAACUGGGCUCGCUCAUACGCGCUCCGCCACAGUAGGCUCGGUAUAUAACUUACCAUUUGAUUAGAGGUUGCCCAAUAGGGGCCCGCCCAUUGAUUAUAGCUCGAUGGUAAUGAAAAUACUUUUAAUACUGUAUUUAUACAAAUUCUCUGCUCUCUUGACUGGAAGAAGAAAAUACUAACUGAAUAUGCAGUCCCGAUAAGGAGAAUAUUAUAACUUACAACACUAGAAAAAUAUACGCAAUUUGCGAGACUAGCAAAAUAUACGUAAAUUCCGGGAUAUGAAUAUAAUGACGAGAUCAUGCCAAAUGAAAGAAGAGCUUAGCCUUAACAUACCUGGAGUAGAAAAAAUUCCAUAUACUAUUCUUGACGAGGAUUGCACCGUACUCUUCCAGAACCGCAAAAUUCCACGUUACUAGUAUUCCAACAAAUUCCUUUUUUUUUGAACGAAAACUACCUCUGUGUGUAACGUUUUCUUGAAUCUUUAAGGAGGAAAUGUUUCCAAUCUUUCUCAUGUAUUUGAACUUAAGAAUGAAUGAAGAUAAGAAAGUAUUUAACAUUUUCGUGAAUCAUUUUAAGAAGGAAAUGUUUCUGAUCUCAUUUGGAGCUAAGAAUGAAAUGAAGAUAAGAGUGCAUUUAACGUUUUCUUCAAUCCUUUUAAGAAGGAAACAUUUAUGAUCUUAU
rnacentral:lncRNA from 1 species